AAGAGAAAGGGGACUGACAUGUCAAACUUUAACCCAUUCACAAUUUGCAGAAUUUCCGAUGUUCCUCAACAAACUGAUGGUACUUCAUGUGGCAUUAUGACAGUCAAAUUUAUUGAGUACCUUAGUGCCGGCAUUCCUUUACAUACCAUUGACCCAUCGAAGUUUGGCUACUACCGAUUGAAGCUUGCAAUCGAGGCUUUGAGGGGGGAGGCCUAUGUAUGAGGUGGUCCUUCCAGCUUCAUACCCAUAUUGACAUCUCAGAUUCUGUACAUGGAUGUGAAAGAAGUUGCAGGCUGUUUUGUCGUAUUGUGAAUCUUGAAACUGCCUAAGCAGUUUUUGCGUAACAUGGCACAAUUUUUGACAUUUUG